rnacentral:misc_RNA from 1 species
GAUGAGAACGUAGCGAAAUGCGAUAAGUAAUGUGAAUUGCAGAAUUCAGUGAAUCAUCGAAUCUUUGAACGCACAUUGCGCCCCUUGGUAUUCCAUGGGGCAUGCCUGUUCGAGCGUCAUUUGUACCUUCAAGCCUUGCUUGGUGUUGGGUGUUUGUCUCGCCUCUGCGCGCAGACUCGCCUCAAAACAAUUGGCAGCCGGCGUAUUGAUUUCGGAGCGCAGUACAUCUCGCGCUUUGCACUCAGAACGACGACGUCCAAAAGUACAUUUUUACACUCUUGACCUCGGAUCAGGUAGGGAUACCCGCUGAACUUAAGCAUAUCAAUAAGCGGAGGA